GAAGAAGUCAGAGAACCAGCUGGAAUGACCUUCUGGAAGCUGGAAAUCCAAGAUCAAGGUUCCAGCCAAUUUGAUUUCUGGGUUGGUCUGCCUCUUAUCAGAUACACAUCCAAGUCAAAAAGGUGUUGUCUUUAUAAUGAACUUAGGUGACUUAUCUGAGAAUAUUCUAUCCAUCAGAAGCACUUCAAUGUCCAGCCCUAGUACUCACUGCUCUGUGGCCUCCUGUUUGCGUGGGCACCAGCUUCAUGACUCAUACCGGCUGUCCAUCACUUGUUCUCUGAAGACCACAGUUUCAAAAUAUAACUCUUAGAAAACAGUUGCAGUUACUUCACCUGCAAUUGACUGUACUAUGGUUGCAACCUACAAUUUGAGUCUUUAUUUGGUCAUUGA